rnacentral:lncRNA from 1 species
GUGAGGCAUUUGAGAGAAAUACGGAAAGAAAAUAACAGCACAAUGUUAGAGCAUCAUCAUAGCGGAAACCCAGUUCCCUUUCUUAAAAAAAAAAUUAUUUUUAUGUUUUAUCUGUUUUUUUUUUUUUAAAAGAGAACCAAUCGCGGACCGUCACGUGUCGUGGGAUCCGCAAAACAGUGUAAAAACCCCACAACAAGCAUCUCUUAUUUCAUGACAGGAAGCCACGUUUCUUCCCAUUUUGUAGGAUCCACCCCACUUUUUCCCCCUAAAAACCCUCCUAAAUACUCCGAUAAAGAUGUUCUUAGUUUCUUUUCGCUAGUUAUUUCAGGUCUGAAAGUUUUAUUACUUUCUGAUAUUUUUAGUGCAACAUUUUUUCCUCCUUUCUUUCCUUGAUGGAGUAUUCUUGAGAAGAUUUCAAAAAUAUCUUGUUGCACCAUAGGUAAGAAUCAUGUCCUGCUUUCUCAGUAGGUGGUGGGAGAGAGGAGAUGAUAAUGUGAAUUGUUUCCAUUCCAGUGGCCAUUUCGAGUAGCAAACUUUACUGUUGGAUCAAGCGAUAUGCGAAAAUGUUUUGGCCCUUCAAAACUGGUAACUGAUAUUAACAGACCUAAGUCGGACCAAUAAUCAUGCCAGAAGGAUGCUCACUCGUGGGACGGUCAUUUUCUAUAUUUCUUUCAAGGGUUUGGCUUUUUCUCGAAUAAGAAAACAAGAAGCAAUUUAAGCAGGUGUCAAUAAUACUACAUAGAUGAACUCUGAAAACGAUUGGUAACGCGGGCUC